GCGGGUGUAGUUCAAUGGCAGAACAUCAGCUUCCCAAGCUGAUAGUGCGAGUUCGAUUCUCGUCACCCGCUCCA
rnacentral:tRNA from 2 species